rnacentral:rRNA from 1 species
CGCGCGCCGCUCCUCCGCCUUCUGCCUCCUCCGCUCCAGCCGCCCGGACCCGCCGCAGCUGCAGGGCCUAGGGUCCAGCUGCCGCUGGUACAGGGGAGCCACCGCGGCGGUCGGCCCGCUGUCGACCCCUGUGAACCUGGGCGUGAGCAUCGUGCCGGAGAGGAAGGUGUUCGUGGUGGAGCGCUUAGGCAUGUACCACAAGUCUCUCUCCUCGGGGAUUCACUUCCUCGUGCCCGGCAUCGACCGCAUCGCCUACGUCCACUCGCUCGAGGAGGAGGCCAUCCAAAUCCCGGACAACCCUGCCAUCACAAAGGAUGGCACCUUGAUCCAGAUCGGAGGAGUGCUCCAUGUCAAGAUUGCCGAUCCCUUCCUUGCUUCCUACGCCAUAGAGAACCCCAUCUAUGCAGUCACCCAUCUCGCGGAGUUUGUUGCAGGCAGUGAAAUUUGCAAGAUUACCCUUGACAAGACUUUUAAGGAAAGAGACACGCUCAACCACAACAUCAUGAAGUCAAUCAAUUACGCAUCAUGCGAGUGGGGUGUCAAAUGCCUCAAAUACAACAUACGCAUUACUCCAACAGAGGGAGCUAAGAAAGCCAUGGAGAUGCAGCUUGAAGCAGAAUCUAUGAUGGAAAGGGUGAAGAAAGCAAAGGGUGAAGGUGAAGCGAUUCUUGCCAGGUUUGAAGCGACA